rnacentral:pre_miRNA from 1 species
AGUGAAAUUAUUGGGUCAAAUGAUAACUCUAACUUUUUGAGGAACUGCGAAAGUGUUUUCCAAAGUAGCUGCACCAUUUUGUAAUCCCAAGCAAU